UACGGAGGAUCCAAGCGUUAUCCGGAUUUAUUGGGUUUAAAGGGUGCGUAGGGGGCUUUUUAAGUCAGGGGUGAAAGACGGUAGCUUAACUAUCGCAGUGCCUUUGAUACUGAAGAGCUUGAAUACACUAGAGGUAGGCGGAAUGUGACAAGUAGCGGUGAAAUGCAUAGAUAUGUCACAGAACACCAAUUGCGAAGGCAGCUUACUAUGGUGUUAUUGACACUGAGGCACGAAAGCGUGGGGAUCAAACAGG
rnacentral:rRNA from 1 species